AUGCUGGAGGUAUCAGAAGUGCGAAUGCUGACAUAAGUAACGAUAAAGCGGGUGAAAAGCCCGCUCGCCGGAAGACCAAGGGUUCCUGUCCAACGUUAAUCGGGGCAGGGUGAGUCGACCCCUAAGGCGAGGCCGAAAGGCGUAGUCGAUGGGAAACAGGUUAAUAUUCCUGUACUUGGUGUUACUGCGAAGGGGGGACGGAGAAGGCUAUGUUGGCCGGGCGACGGUUGUCCCGGUUUAAGCGUGUAGGCUGAUUUUCCAGGCAAAUCCGGAAAAUCAAGGCUGAGGCGUGAUGACGAGGCACUACGGUGCUGAAGCAACAAAUGCCCUGCUUCCAGGAAAAGCCUCUAAGCAUCAGGUAACAUCAAAUCGUACCCCAAACCGACACAGGUGGUCAGGUAGAGAAUACCAAGGCGCUUGAGAGAACUCGGGUGAAGGAACUAGGCAAAAUGGUGCCGUAACUUCGGGAGAAGGCACGCUGAUAUGUAGGUGAAGCGACUUGCUCGUGGAGCUGAAAUCAGUCGAAGAUACCAGCUGGCUGCAACUGUUUAUUAAAAACACAGCACUGUGCAAACACGAAAGUGGACGUAUACGGUGUGACGCCUGCCCGGUGCCGGAAGGUUAAUUGAUGGGGUUAGCGGUAACGCGAAGCUCUUGAUCGAAGCCCCGGUAAACGGCGGCCGUAACUAUAACGGUCCUAAGGUAGCGAAAUUCCUUGUCGGGUAAGUUCCGACCUGCACGAAUGGCGUAAUGAUGGCCAGGCUGUCUCCACCCGAGACUCAGUGAAAUUGAACUCGCUGUGAAGAUGCAGUGUACCCGCGGCAAGACGGAAAGACCCCGUGAACCUUUACUAUAGCUUGACACUGAACAUUGAGCCUUGAUGUGUAGGAUAGGUGGGAGGCUUUGAAGUGUGGACGCCAGUCUGCAUGGAGCCGACCUUGAAAUACCACCCUUUAAUGUUUGAUGUUCUAACGUUGGCCCGUUAUCCGGGUUGCGGACAGUGUCUGGUGGGUAGUUUGACUGGGGCGGUCUCCUCCUAAAGAGUAACGGAGGAGCACGAAGGUUGGCUAAUCCUGGUCGGACAUCAGGAGGUUAGUGCAAUGGCAUAAGCCAGCUUGACUGCGAGCGUGACGGCGCGAGCAGGUGCGAAAGCAGGUCAUAGUGAUCCGGUGGUUCUGAAUGGAAGGGCCAUCGCUCAACGGAUAAAAGGUACUCCGGGGAUAACAGGCUGAUACCGCCCAAGAGUUCAUAUCGACGGCGGUGUUUGGCACCUCGAUGUCGGCUCAUCACAUCCUGGGGCUGAAGUAGGUCCCAAGGGUAUGGCUGUUCGCCAUUUAAAGUGGUACGCGAGCUGGGUUUAGAACGUCGUGAGACAGUUCGGUCCCUAUCUGCCGUGGGCGCUGGAGAACUGAGGGGGGCUGCUCCUAGUACGAGAGGACCGGAGUGGACGCAUCACUGGUGUUCGGGUUGUCAUGCCAAUGGCACUGCCCGGUAGCUAAAUGCGGAAGAGAUAAGUGCUGAAAGCAUCUAAGCACGAAACUUGCCCCGAGAUGAGUUCUCCCUGACUCCUUGAGAGUCCUGAAGGAACGUUGAAGACGACGACGUUGAUAGGCCGGGUGUGUAAGCGCAGCGAUGCGUUGAGCUAACCGGUACUAAUGAACCGUGAGGCUUAACCUUACAACGCCGAAG
rnacentral:rRNA from 2 species